rnacentral:tRNA from 1 species
GGUGCGGUGGGACAGUGGUUACUCCGGCGAUUUACUAUCGGUUUCCUCAAGUGGCAUGUCGCUGCCAUUUGGCUCCUGGGUUCAAAUCCCAGUCGCACCU